rnacentral:rRNA from 1 species
CGGAGUAAUACAUCGGAACGUGUCUUCUAGUGGGGGAUAACUGCCCGAAAGGGCAGCUAAUACCGCAUGAGACCUGAGGGUGAAAGCGGGGGAUCGCAAGACCUCGCGCUGGAAGAGCGGCAGAUGUCCGAUUAGCUAGUUGGUGAGGUAAAGGCUCACCAAGGCGACGAUCGGUAGCUGGUCUGAGAGGACGACCAGCCACACUGGGACUGAGACACGGCCCAG